GAGUGUGGAGAAAAGAGAGAGAAAGGGAGAGAAGAGUCAUGGACCCUACUUUAUGGUUGCCAUGGAUGCAAGCCUCAUCUCCAUUCCUUUCUACUUUGAACAUAGCAAGUCCUGGAGGCUGCUGGGUCGUCUUCCAGCCACAAGGUGGCUCCCCCAAUCCCUUCUCUCAAGCCAAUCGAUGUACACCUUUGCUGAGUUCUCCAGGCGGACUACAAUUCAGAGCUAAUUAUGAUCUAUAAAUGCCAUUAUUUUCAUUGUGAAGUAAAUGGCUUAUGACCAAGACCCUGGUACACUAAGAUACAAUGCAAAAUUAGUCUUUAAAAAUAGGAGAAAGAAAAAUACCUUUGUAUUUGCCUAAUUUCUCUUCACCCAUCCUUCCAAAAGUACAACUGAGCUAUCCUUAGAGUAAAAUAAGAAAAAUAAUAAAAGGCUCCAGAGGAACCUAAUUUUGUUGUCAAUGAACAUAGUCAUAGACUAGACAAGGUCAAAUUUUAAGAAAAGUAUACAACUUAUUCUCACUUAAACUAGACCUACUUUUGGAUUUGAUAUUUUACCACAAGAGAGUUUUGAUGAGAAGACUUUGCAAAACUUUCUUAGAAGUCCCACAUCAUGCCAUCAUUGAAGAACAGUGAUCUCCAAUACUGCAAGGCUUUAAAAGGAGUGGAAAUAUUACAUAUUUCCUUUUUGUUGCUUAGCAAACAUGUUGCAUAUUUCAUAAAUGUGAUUUUUAUAGAAGACAUCAUAAUUUUCUACAGCUGAAAUAGGCAUAGAAAGACAAAUCAUUCAUCCAAUUACAUGGAAGGUCUUUCUAAAAGUCUGAGUCCUAAUUUCUCACAGUUUUUCAUUUUCUGUUCUGGAGAGAAGCUAUUUAACCUUUGGGCAAGUUUCGUUUUCCUUAUCUG
rnacentral:lncRNA from 10 species